rnacentral:rRNA from 1 species
UACGGGGGGGGCAAGCGUUGUUCGGAAUUACUGGGCGUAAAGGGCUCGUAGGCGGCCAACUAAGUCAGACGUGAAAUCCCUCAGCUUAACUGGGGAACUGCGUCUGAUACUGGAUGGCUUGAGUUCGGGAGGGGGAUGCGGAAUUCCAGGUGUAGCGGUGAAAUGCGUAGAUAUCUGGAGGAACACCGGUGGCGAAGGCGGCAUCCUGGACCGACACUGACGCUGAGGAGCGAAAGCCAGGGGAGCAAACGGG